rnacentral:rRNA from 1 species
UACGAAGGGGGCUAGCGUUGUUCGGAUUUACUGGGCGUAAAGCGCACGUAGGCGGAUCGUUAAGUCGAGGGUGAAAUCCUGGAGCUCAACUCCAGAACUGCCUUCGAUACUGGCGAUCUCGAGUUCGGGAGAGGUGAGUGGAACUGCGAGUGUAGAGGUGAAAUUCGUAGAUAUUCGCAAGAACACCAGUGGCGAAGGCGGCUCACUGGCCCGAUACUGACGCUGAGGUGCGAAAGCGUGGGGAGCAAACAGG